UGCAAGUCGAACGAACUCUGGUAUUGAUUGGUGCUUGCAUCAUGAUUUACAUUUGAGUGAGUGGCGAACUGGUGAGUAACACGUGGGAAACCUGCCCAGAAGCGGGGGAUAACACCUGGAAACAGAUGCUAAUACCGCAUAACAGCUUGGACCGCAUGGUCCGAGUUUGAAAGAUGGCUUCGGCUAUCACUUUUGGAUGGUCCCGCGGCGUAUUAGCUAGAUGGUGAGGUAACGGCUCACCAUGGCAAUGAUACGUAGCCGACCUGAGAGGGUAAUCGGCCACAUUGGGACUGAGACACGGCCCAAACUCCUACGGGAGGCAGCAGUAGGGAAUCUUCCACAAUGGACGAAAGUCUGAUGGAGCAACGCCGCGUGAGUGAAGAAGGGUUUCGGCUCGUAAAACUCUGUUGUUAAAGAAGAACAUAUCUGAGAGUAACUGUUCAGGUAUUGACGGUAUUUAACCAGAAAGCCACGGCUAACUACGUGCCAGCAGCCGCGGUAAUACGUAGGUGGCAAGCGUUGUCCGGAUUUAUUGGGCGUAAAGCGAGCGCAGGCGGUUUUUUAAGUCUGAUGUGAAAGCCUUCGGCUCAACCGAAGAAGUGCAUCGGAAACUGGGAAACUUGAGUGCAGAAGAGGACAGUGGAACUCCAUGUGUAGCGGUGAAAUGCGUAGAUAUAUGGAAGAACACCAGUGGCGAAGGCGGCUGUCUGGUCUGUAACUGACGCUGAGGCUCGAAAGUAUGGGUAGCAAACAGGAUUAGAUACCCUGGUAGUCCAUACCGUAAACGAUGAAUGCUAAGUGUUGGAGGGUUUCCGCCCUUCAGUGCUGCAGCUAACGCAUUAAGCAUUCCGCCUGGGGAGUACGGCCGCAAGGCUGAAACUCAAAGGAAUUGACGGGGGCCCGCACAAGCGGUGGAGCAUGUGGUUUAAUUCGAAGCUACGCGAAGAACCUUACCAGGUCUUGACAUACUAUGCAAAUCUAAGAGAUUAGACGUUCCCUUCGGGGACAUGGAUACAGGUGGUGCAUGGUUGUCGUCAGCUCGUGUCGUGAGAUGUUGGGUUAAGUCCCGCAACGAGCGCAACCCUUAUUAUCAGUUGCCAGCAUUAAGUUGGGCACUCUGGUGAGACUGCCGGUGACAAACCGGAGGAAGGUGGGGAUGACGUCAAAUCAUCAUGCCCCUUAUGACCUGGGCUACACACGUGCUACAAUGGAUGGUACAACGAGUUGCGAACUCGCGAGAGUAAGCUAAUCUCUUAAAGCCAUUCUCAGUUCGGAUUGUAGGCUGCAACUCGCCUACAUGAAGUCGGAAUCGCUAGUAAUCGCGGAUCAGCAUGCCGCGGUGAAUACGUUCCCGGGCCUUGUACACACCGCCCGUCACACCAUGAGAGUUUGUAACACCCAAAGUCGGUGGGGUAACCUUUUAGGAACCAGCCGCCU
rnacentral:rRNA from 1 species